rnacentral:lncRNA from 1 species
AAGCUCCUUAUCUGAUCGAACUAAAACUUAUUUUGCAUCUCCUGUCACAUGGUGAGGCCAAAAACAAUAUCCACAUCUAUGUAACAAACAAAAAACUGAUCAAAUAGAACAAAAGGGAACCAAUCACCAAACCAGAACCGCUUUUCCUUCAAAAAUGGUGAAGAACCACACAAAGAUCCAUCUGAAAUGGAAGUGCAUAAACAAUAAGCAAGGGGAAAGCCCAGGAAGAAGACAAUGACAGUAGAAAAAUAUUAUACUCCCUCUACAAUGCUUCACGUCCAACAACCAGACCAAGAUAGCCCCACCUUAAGCUCCGACUUUGGUAGAAUCAAAACUUAUUUUGUAUCUCCUGUCAAAGGGUGGGACCAAAAACAAUAUACACAUGUACGUAACAAACAAAAAAUAGAUUAAACAGAGCAAAAGGGAACCAAGCACCAAACCAGAACCGCCUUCCCACGAGAACUGGUUAAUUAGAACCCAAAGAUCAAACAUUUGAAGAUUAAAGAGCAUAACAAUAAGCAAAGGGAAAAAGUUCACCUAGAAGAUAAAUCACAAUAGAAAAAUAAUAUACUCCUGUUGACACCCACCAUAAACACUAUACCAAUGGCAGCAUCCAAGAUUGGUCCAUAUCCAAAUAACCAGACCAAGAUAGCCUCACCUUAAAUACCUAACUUUGAUGGAAUCAAAACCAAUUUUGUAUCUCCUGACACAGGGUGAGGCAGAAAACAAGGUCCAAGUCUACGUAACAAAAUAAAACUAUAAUAGAGAGCAAAGAUAACCAAGGAUCAAACCAGAACAGUCUUCCACAGAAGCCUGAUUAAGAAACACACAACGAUCCGGCAUCUGGAAAUUGAAAAGAAUAACGAUAAGCAAGGGAAAGUUUAGGUAGAAUAUAAAAUUUAGUAAAAAAGUUACAAUACUAUACUCCCUAUGCAACCCUUGAUAAACACUAUAUCAAUGACAGCGUCAAAGGUUGCUCCGUGUCCAACAAUCAGACCAAGAUUGCACCACCAUAAGCUCCUACUUUGAUAGAAUCAAAACUUAAUUUAUAUUUUGUGUCAUAGGGUGAUGCAGAAAACAAUAUCCACGCCAACGUAACAAACAAAAAACUGAUGAAAGAGAAAAAAGAUAACAAAGCAUCAAACCGAACAGCCUUCCAAUUAAGAACCACAACGAUCAGAAAUCUGAAAAUUGAAGAGUAUAACGACAAGCACCGGAAACUCUAGGUAGAAGAGAAAAUAUAGUAGAAGAAAAUGUAGUAUAACAAUCUGCAUCCCUCAAUAAACAUUAUAUCAAUUGACAUCUUAUAUUAGUCCGCAUCCAACAACCCCACCAAGUUGGCCCCCACCUUAAGCUCCCACUUUGAUAGAAUAAAACUGAAUUUGUAUCUCCUGUCACAGGGUGAGGGCGAAAAAAAUAUCAAAGUCUACGUAACAAAAAAAAAAAAACUAUAAUAGAGAACACAGACAACCAAGCGUCAAACAAGAACUGCCUUUCAGAGAAGCUUGAUUAAGAACAAAACAGCAACCAAAGAUUUGUCCAUGUCCAAAAACCAGACCAAGAUAGCCCCCACCUUAAGCUCCUACUUUGAUAGAAUCAAAACCUAUUUUGUAUCUCCUGUCACAGGGUGAGGCUGAAAACAACAUCCAAGUCUACAUAACAGCAAAAGAACUAUAAUUGAGAGAGCAAAGAUAACCAAUUAUCAAACCCGAACUGCCUUCCAGUUAAACUUGAUUAAGAACCACAUAAUGAACAGGCAUCUGGAAAUGGAAGAGAGACUAACAAUAACCACAGGAAAGUCUAGAUGGAAGAUAAAUUGUAGUAGAAAAAAAUACUAUAUUAUACUCCCUCUGCCAUCCUCGAUAAACACUAUAAUUGACAGCGUCAAAGGUUGAUCUGUGGCCAAUAUAACUAAACCAAGAUUAGCCCCACCUUGAGCUCCUACUUUGAUAAAAUCAAAACAAAAUUUUUAUCAUCUGCCAUAGGAUGAGGCAGAAAUACAAUAUACACGUAUACGUAACAAACAAAAAAACUGAUGAUAGAGAGAAAAGAUAAACCCAGCAUCAAACCAGAAGUGCCUUCAAGUAAAGAACACCUGGAAAUUGAAGAGUAUAACGAUAAGUAUAGGAAACUCAAGGUAAAAGAGAAAACGUAAAAAAAAAAAAAAUAACUAUACUGUACACCAUCUGCCACCCUCGACAAACACUAUAUCAAUGAUGGCAUCAUAGAUUAGUCCAUAUCCAAAAACCAGACCAAGAUAACCCCCACCUUAAGCUUCAACUUUGAUAGAAUCAAAACCUAUUUUGUCUCCUGGCACAGGGUGAGGACCAAAACAUUGUCCAAGUCUACAUAACAAAUAAACAAUAAUUACAGAGCAAAGGUGACCAAUUAGCAAACCAGAACAGCCUUCCCGUGAAGCUUGAUUAAAAACCACACAGCGAUCAGGCAUCUGGAAAUUGAUGAGAACAACGGUAAGCAUGGGAAAGUCUAGGUAGAAGAUAAAAGAUAGUAAAAAAAAAAAAAACUAUUCUAUACUCUCUUUGCCAGGCCCACACCACUAUAUCAAUGACAGCAUCAAAGGUAGAUCCGUGUUCAAUAACCAGGCCAACAUUAGCCACACCAUAAGCUCCUUCUUUCAAAACUUAAUUUUUAUCUCCUAUCAUAGGGUGAGGCAGAGAACAAUAUCCACGUCUACAUAACAACAAAAAAUUGUUGAAACUGACAAAAGAUAACCAAGAAAACAAGAAGUGCCAUCCAUUAUGGAAAUUGAAGAGUAUAACUAUAAACACGGGAAACUCUAGGUAGAAGAGAAAAUGUAGUAGAAAAAAAAAAUACUAUUAUGUAUUUCCUUUGCGACCCUCGAUUUACAAUAUACCAAUGAUAACAUCAAAGAUCUGUCCGCGUCCAAAAACCAGACCAAGAUAGCCCCCACAUUAAGCUCCUACAGUGAUGGAAUCAAAACCUAUUUUGUAUCUCCUGUCACAGGGUAGGCCCAAAACAAUAUCCAAGUCUAUAUAACAACAAAAGAAAUAUAAUAGAGAGAUCAAAUGCAACCAAUUAUGAACCCAGAACUGCCUUCCAGUUAAGCUUGAUUAAGAACCACACAACGAUCAGGCAUCUGGAAAUUGAAGAGAAUAACAAUAAGCACGGGAAAGUCAAGAUGGAAGAUAAAUUGUAGCAGAAUUAAUACAAUACUAUACUCCCUCUGACACCCUCGAUAAACAUUAUAUCAGUGACAGCAUCAAAAGUUGAUAUGUCUCCAAUAACUAGACCAAGAUUAGCCCCACCAUAAGCUGCUUCUUUCACAACUUAAUUUUUAACCCCUGUCACAAGGUGAGGCAGAAAACAAUAUCCACGUCUACGUAACAAAUAAAAGAUUGUUGAAACUGACAAAAGAUAACCAAGCAUACCAGAAGUGCCUUCCAGUUAAGAACCACACAACAAUCAGACAUCUGGAAAUUGAAGAGUAUAACUAUUAGCACGGGAAACUCUAGGUAGAAGAGAAAAUGUAGUAGAAAAAAAAUACUAUUAUGUACUCCAUGUACUCCCUUUACCACCCACAUUAAACUAUAUCAAUGACAGCAUGAAGGAUUUGUCAGUGUACCAAAAACCAGACCAAGACACGCCCCCACCUUAAGCUCCUACUUUGAUAGAAUCAGAACCUAUUUUGUAUCUCCUAUCACAGGGUGAGGCUGAAACCAACAUCGAGUCUAAAUAACAACAAAAGAACUACAAUAGAGAGAGCAAAGGUAACCAACUAUCAAACCCGAACUGCCGUCCAGUAAGCUUGAUUAAGAACCACACAACGAUCGGGCAUCUGGAAAUGGAAGAGAAUAACGAUAAGCACCGGAAGGUCUAGAUGGAAGAUAAAUUGUAUUAGAAGAAAUACUAUACUAACUCCCUCUGCCACCCUCGAAAAACAUAUCAUGACCAUCAAAGGAUUGAUUGUGUGCAAUAACUGACUAAGAUUAGCCCUACCUUAAGCCCUACUUUGAUAAAAUUAAAACUUAAUUUUUAUCUCAUGUCAUAGGGUGGGGCAGAAAACAAUAUCACGUCUAUGUACAAACAAAAAUUGUUGAAAUGACAAAAGAUAACCAAACAUCAAACCAGAAGUGUCAUCCAGUUAAGAACCACCCCACGAUCAGACAUCUGGAAAUUGAAGAGUAUAUCUAUAAGCACGGGAAACUCUAGGUAGAAGAGAAAAUGUAUAGAAAUAAAAAUACUAUUAUGUACUCCCUUUGCCACCCUCGAUUAACACAAUAUCAAUGACUCAUCAAAGAUCUGUCCGCGUCCAAAAACCAGACCAAGAUAGCCCCCACAUUAAGCUCCUACAGUGAUGGAAUCAAAACCUAUUUUGUAUCUCCUGUCACAGGGUAGGCCCAAAACAAUAUCCAAGUCUAUAUAACAACAAAAGAAUAUAAUAGAGAGAUCAAAUGCAACCAAUUAUGAACCCAGAACUGCCUUCCAGUUAAGCUUGAUUAAGAACCAAACAACGAUCAGGCAUCUGGAAAUCGAAGAGAAUAACAAUAAGCACGGGAAAGUCAAGAUGGAAGAUAAAUUGUAGCAGAAUUAAUACAAUACUAUACUCCCUCUGACACCCUCGAUAAACAUUAUAUCAGUGACAGCAUCAAAAGUUGAUGUCUCCAGUAACUAGACCAAGAUUAGCCCCACCAUAAGCUGCUUCUUUCACAACUUAAUUUUUAACUCCUGUCACAAGGUGAGGCAGAAAACAAUAUCCACGUCUACGUAACAAAUAAAAGAUUGUUGAAACUGACAAAAGAUAACCAAGCAUACCAGAAGUGCCUUCCAGUUAAGAACCACACAACAAUCAGACAUCUGGAAAUUGAAGAGUAUAACUAUUAGCACGGGAAACUCUAGGUAGAAGAGAAAAUGUAGGUAGAAAAAAAAUACUAUUAGUACUCCCUUUACCACCCACUAUUAACACUAUAUCAAUGACAGCAUGAAGGAUUUGUCAGUGUCCAAAAACCAGACCAAGACAGCCCCCACCUUAAGCUCCUACUUGAUAGAAUCAGAACCUAUUUUGUAUCUCCUAUCACAGGGUGAGGCUGAAACCAACAUCCGAGUCUAAAUAACAACAAAAGAACUACAAUAGAGAGAGCAAAGGUAACCAACUAUCAAACCCGAACUGCCGUCCAGUUAAGCUUGAUUAAGAACCACACAACGAUCGGGCAUCUGGAAAUGAAGAGAAUAACGAUAAGCACCGGAAGGUCUAGAUGGAAGAUAAAUUGUAUAGAAGAAAUACUAUACUAUACUCCCUCUGCCACCCUCGAUAAACACACUAUAUAGUGACCACGUCAAAGGAUUGACUUGUGUGCAAUAACUUGACUAAGAUUAGCCCUACCUUAAGCUCCUACUUGAUAAAAUUAAAACUUAAUUUUUAUCUCAUGUCAUAGGGUGGGGCAGAAAACAAUAUCCACGUCUAUGUAGCAAACAAAAUUGUUGAACUGACAAAAGAUAACCAAACAUCAAACAGAAGUGUCUCCAGUUAAGAACCACCCCACGAUCAGACAUCUGGAAAUUGAAGAGUAUAUCUAUAAGCACGGGAAACUCGAGGUAGAAGAGAAAAUGUAGUAGAAUAAAAAUACUAUUAUGUACUCCCUUUGCCACCCUCGAUUAACACAAUAUCAAUGACUACAUCAAAGAUCUGUCGCGUCCAAAAACCAGACCAAGAUAGCCCCCACAUUAAGCUCCUACAGUGAUGGAAUCAAAACCUAUUUUGUAUCUCCUGUCACAGGGUAGGCUCAAAACAAUAUCCAAGUCUAUAUAACAACAAAAGAAAUAUAAUAGAGAGAUCAAAUGCAACCAAUUAUGAACCCAGAACUGCCUUCCAGUUAAGCUUGAUUAAGAACCAAACAACGAUCAGGCAUCUGGAAAUCGAAGAGAAUAACAAUAAGCACGGGAAAGUCAAGAUGGAAGAUAAAUUGUAGCAGAAUUAAUACAAUACUAUACUCCCUCUGACACCCUCGAUAAACAUUAUAUCAGUGACAGCAUCAAAAGUUGAUAGUCUCCAUAACUAGACCAAGAUUAGCCCCACCAUAAGUGCUUCUUUCACAACUUAAUUUUUAACCCCUGUCACAAGGUGAGGCAGAAAACAAUAUCCACGUCUACGUAACAAAUAAAAGAUUGUUGAAACUGACAAAAGAUAACCAAGCAUACCAGAAGUGCCUUCCAGUUAAGAACCACACAACAUCAGACAUCUGGAAAUUGAAGAGUAUAUCUAUAGCACGGGAAAUUCUAGGUAGAAGAGAAAAUGUAGUAGAAAAAAAAUACUAUUAUGUACUCCCUUUCCACCCCGAUUAAACAUAUCAAUGACCAUAAGAUUGUCGGUCCAAAAACCAGACCAAGACAGCCCCCACCUUAAGCUCCUACUUUGAUAGAAUCAGAACCUAUUUUGUAUCUCCUAUCACAGGGUGAGGCUGAAACCAACAUCGAGUCUAAAUAACAACAAAAGAACUACAAUAGAGAAAGCAAAGGUAACCAACUAUCAAACCCGAACUGCCGUCCAGUUAAGCUUGAUUAAGAACCACACAACGAUCGGGCAUCUGGAAAUGGAAGAGAAUAACGAUAAGCACCGGAAGGUCUAGAUGGAAGAUAAAUUGUAUUAGAAGAAAUACUAUCUAUACUCCCUCUGCCACCCUCGAUAAACACACUAUAUCAGUGACCACGUCAAAGGAUUGACUUGUGUGCAAUAACUUGACUAAGAUUAGCCCUACUUAAGCUCCUACUUUGAUAAAAUUAAAACUUAAUUUUUAUCUCAUGUCAUAGGGUGGGGCAGAAAACAAUAUCCACGUCUAUGUACAAACAAAAUUGUUGAAAUGACAAAAGAUAACCAAACAUCAAACCAGAAGUGUCUCCAGUUAAGAACCACCCAGAUCAGACAUACUGGAAAUUGAAGGUAUAUCUAUAAGACACGGAAAUUGGUAGAAGAGAAAAUUAAGUAGAAUAAAAACUAUUAUGUACUCCCUUUGCCACCCUCGAUUAACACAAUAUCAAUGACUCAUCAAAGAUCUGUCCGCGUACCAAAAACCAGACCAAGAU